rnacentral:rRNA from 1 species
GUAGGGAAUCUUCCGCAAUGGACGAAAGUCUGACGGAGCAACGCCGCGUGAGUGAAGAAGGUUUUCGGAUCGUAAAACUCUGUUGUUAGGGAAGAACAAGUCAGGUAGUAACUGACCUGACCUUGACGGUACCUAACCAGAAAGCCACGGCUAACUACGUGCCAGCAGCCGCGGUAAUACGUAGGUGGCAAGCGUUGUCCGGAUUUAUUGGGCGUAAAGCGCUCGCAGGCGGUCUUUUAAGUCUGAUGUGAAAGCCCACGGCUUAACCGUGGAGGGUCAUUGGAAACUGGAGGACUUGAGUGCAGAAGAGGAGAGUGGAAUUCCAUGUGUAGCGGUGAAAUGCGUAGAGAUAUGGAGGAACACCAGUGGCGAAGGCGACUCUCUGGUCUGUAACUGACGCUGAGGAGCGAAAGCGUGGGUAGCGAACAGGAUUAGAUACCCUUGUAGUCC